rnacentral:rRNA from 1 species
UACAGAGGUCUCAAGCGUUGUUCGGAUUCAUUGGGCGUAAAGGGUGUGUAGGUGGCGCCGUAAGUCGGGUGUGAAAUUUCGGAGCUUAACUCCGAAACUGCAUUCGAUACUGCGGUGCUUGAGGACUGGAGAGGAGACUGGAAUUCAUGGUGUAGUGGUGAAAUGCGUAGAUAUCGGGAGGAACACCAGUGGCGAAGGCGGCUUGCUGGGACGGUACUGACGCUGAGAUGCGAAAGCGUGGGGAGCAAACAGG